rfam:Picea glauca, whole genome shotgun sequence.
ACAUGCCUACAAAAUAGCGUUAAUGCACCAAAUCCCAUUAGAAAUCCGUAGUUAAGCAUGCUUGGGCUAGAGUAGUAUUGGGAUGGGUGAUCACCUGGGAAGUCCUAGUGUUUUACAUGCC